ACUCCACAGGCCUUGCAGAGGCUGGAGGUCCGUCAGCUGCUCUGCUCCAGCCCCGGCCCUCUCCUCACCCCAGGCCCCAUCGCUGCGUCCAGUUUGGAGAUGGGAGCAGGCCUGAGAACUGGAAGUAAAAAUGACAAAAUCUGCUCCUUGAAAGCUGUCACCAUGGAUAGGAAGAAUUCUGUUUUGGUCACAUGUAAUGGACCAUGACACAAAGAAAAAGGUGCCACAUGUCCUGAUGCUGGCGCUGGUUUGGGGCCACCAGGAGAAGAGCGGAAGUCUCGUGCCCAACCCCCCGCCCUCCAAUCACUGAGACAACACCAGCAGCCACUUACCUGGAGAUGCGCUGUUAGAGGAGAGAAAAUGAAAGCCACGCUCUGUGCCGUCGGUUUCUGUUCCAGCUGAUGGAAAUCCCUGACUGAUGAAUGAAAACUAGAGGAAAAGCUCCAAGAGAACAGAACCGGGAGAGACGCUUUCCCCCCUCUCGAGGAGCACGGGGCGAUGCGUCUGGCCUGGGUUCGAGGUGCAAACCUGUUAUCUCGUUCUGUGCCCCUGAGCCAGUCACUCUGCCCCCCAAGGCCCACUGUCAAGGCAGGACCACCGCGCUCUGACUCCCCCAUGCCCACAACUGUCGUGAUGUCCUCCUGCUGUGCCGUGGGCCCCAGGACCCAGCUCAAAGUCUGAUGACACGCGGCCAAUCCCUCUGCAGCGAGGCCUUUGGAAAUCGCAGUGUCCCCGGGAAGAGCCUCAGACACCUGCUGUGUCAUUUCCAAGACCGUCUUCUCCAGUGACGUUGUUCGUUUGGCGCUGGUCACGGUUGCCUCCUGCCCCUGACGGGGGUUGCCGAUGUCAAGGACUUGAGAGAAUAAAUCCCUAAUCUUCUUAAGUACCCAAAGGAGGGAGGAGUCCAGGGCUGGUAUGGUGGCCCCAACAGGUCAUCAGUGCACAGGCCCCUCCUGUUCCUGCCCCAUGCCCCUCGGUGGGUGGCUCCUGGCACUGAGCUCGCAGGACCACGAUGGGAUCUUCAGCCACUGUGUCCUCAUUUCAGCUGCAACUGGACAGGGGAAAGGGGCCUUCCAAGAGGCCUCACCGAGGUUGCCCUCGUAUUUGGUAACACCCAACCUGCACAAGAGGCUUGGAAUGCAGUUGAUUUUAUUUAUUUAUACAUAUAUAUAAAAUCUGCCCCAUUGCGCAAGACUUCUGUUACAAAAGGAGAAAGAACAGACCCUGGGCAGGCAACAAGCAGUAUCAGUUUAAAGCCUUGCUUUUUUCAGCAAAGUCUGUCAUUUAUAAGUGCUCCAGAGAUUUCAGGAUCAAGGCAGAUUUAUGGAAAAAAUCAGAAAGCCAAAGGUGCCAUAAAGAGUCCCACGGGAACAGUCUACUCAACAAGAUGCUUUGUCAGCAGUUGGUCAGCCAGUGUCUCCUCCAGUCCCCUGAGGGCUCAGCGUGGCAGCCCCGCCACUCGGCUGGCACUGUCAGUGGCGCACAGUUGUCAGUGCAGGUGAUCCAUGGAAAGCGAGCACAAGAGCAGACAGUCCUUGUCCGUCAUCUCCAUAUUUCCCUCUGUCCUCCUACAGUGGGACGUUCUUCUGACAGUCACUGAAGUUGCUGACAUGGUUGGCAUUGCAGUUUCUAGAGGGAACCCUCCACCCUUCUAGUGGGGAGGAGCUCCUGGAGCAGUGAGACCCAGAGACCCCCAGUGGCCAGAGAUGGGCUUCUUGUAAGACCAAUGCUUGGAGUAAAAGGGUCGUGGAAUUCCCUUUUUAAACAUGUCCUUCUUAAAAUUCGGAAUAAAAUUUGUGCUAAUAUAUGUUAUCUGGGCCUGAAAUGAGUAUAAUCUCUCUUAAAACCAGAGUGGGUCAGCCUUUAACUAGAAAGAGUCUGCUGACCAGAAUUAAGUAAGGAGGGGACAGUCCACAGGGGAAAAGAUAAGGCUGCUCCAAAGACUGUCCCCGCCCUUCCCUCGGCCCUCUGCUGGAAUGUGCUGCCAGCAUCACUACAGUCGCUCCUCAGAGCUUUCUAGGGCUCUCGGCCAGUUCUUGGUACUUCUUUUUGGUCUACAACAGAGAGAAGCUGAUGAGCAAGUUAUAGACUUUUGUGACUUAUUACUGAGUACUAAGUAAAAUCAAUGCUCUAUUAUUACAGAAUGAGCAACGUGACUGUCAAAUAAGCAACUGAUAAAGACAGUCAACUGAACUUAAUGAUCAACUGAGAAAGAAAAGCCCAAUUUCUUGUACUUAAGAAAAUGCUUAUUGAGGCUGUACUACCUGAGAUAUCCUGCUCAUCCUUAGAGGGACACAGAGAAUGUGCUGAACGGUUUUUCUCUUUGCAGCGAGUUUAUAAUCCUCUCAUCCACGGGCAGGGGAAGUAAUUAUAAAAUAAGACGGAUCAAGAUAAAUCCCAUGAAGAGAGUACCAGACAGUGAUGGGGCUCAGAGGAAGGAGAGCCCAGAUUAUCAGGGGAGGGCUUGGGGAAGCAGCAAAUGCAGGUGGCCAGCAGGAAGCGUGAGUGUUCCAAUGGGUCGUGUUUGGGAUCCGGGAGUGGUCCAGGGUGUCCUGAGAUUAGAGCACAUACAGAAGGGCAGGAAGAAGCUGGAGAAGGCAGGCAGGAAUUUAUUCUUUCUUUUCCUCUUUAUUCUAAGUUUUGGUAUUAUUUGAAGUUCGUGGUUAAUAAACUGAAUUCGCUUACUGUCACUCUAACUCUAUGUACAUAUAUAUAUAUAUAUACACACAAGUAUGAAAGACCUAUAUAUAUCUGUACCCAUAUGUUUCUAAAAGAAUGGUAUAAAGUUUCCUUGGGUUUCCUAGGGACGAAUCUGGAAAUCUAACAAAUGUUUCAUAUGGGAUUGAACCAAUAAAGACUAUGCACUGAGAUAA
ensembl:lncRNA